CGCCCACCGGGUCCGCCCCCACGCGGCCGCCUGCACAGGGGGUUCCAGCCACCCGCGCUCUCCCAGGUUUGCCGACCUUACGGGCCCUUCUCCGCCAGCCCUGGCUGGGUCACCCCCACGACCCGGGACUCCCCCGCCGUUCCCUCCCGGGCUGCCUGCAGUGAGGUCCGCUCCUGAGGCCUCAGCCUCGCCGGGGGUAGGGCCCUCUCCCGCCGUCGCCGCAGCUCCUUUCCGUCCCGGGGCCUGGGGGGCACCGUCCCACGGGUGAGGGCCGCCUCCAGCGCCUGGCCCAGCCAUGCGAACGCCUGGAGCCCGCGAGCUGCAGCUGCGGCCCUGAAGGUGCCGCAUAUCCUGCCGAGUGGGUGAAGCGUGGCACUUUGGAAAACAAAUCGGGAAUGAAGGAAAACAGGCAAUAAGGCAAGAAUCGCUGUCGAAGGAGUCUGCGCCACCUGCUCGCACAGCUCACUUGUGCCUUCUGAGCCUGCUGGAGCCCAGUGUACAUAUGCCGUCUCCGCGUGAUUAGAGAUUGCUGCUGCACGUGCCCAAUCCCGUGGCGGGGCUGGAACACAAACGGGGUGGUGUUCCAGCUGCAACCAUGCAGAUGAAGACUAUACCCUAGGAGAUGGAGGAACAACAGACAAGAAAGAAACCUGGGUUCCUGAAUAACCACGUGGAGCCAAGCAGCUUACUUAUCUCAAGCCACUGUUGCCCACCUCCAGAUUGGUUCGUGAGAUAGAAAUAAGCUUCUAUCCUUUUUGCAUGACUGCAUUUUGGGGUCUGUGUUAUAGCAGCUUAAUCUCUAUCUGAAUUAUAUUGGAUUUAAGUGUCUGAAGCCCAAUGACUUAACCUUUCCUGAGGCAAAGGCACAGAAGAGCCUAUUUUCCAAAAAUGGGAAAACGAAGACAUAGGAAGGAAAAACCCAACAAAUGGUCAGGAAAUUAUACUGCUAUAGGCUCUUCUCGGAUGAGUGUCUAGUCCUAAUGAGGGGGCUGUGGGAAUUCAAAGACGGAGAAACUGCCUUCAGAUAGAGCUAGUAGGGAAGACCCCUGCAGACAGUGACAUUAAAUUGAAGGUAGAAUUUGGAUAGAUGGACAUGGGGAGGGCAAUUCAAACAAAGGGAACUUGAGCAACAGGGUGGAGGUAGAAAGGUGCCAGAUCUUUUGGGAGAUGCAGAAGUGAUAUCACACAGUUUAAAGCCAGAGUUAAAUAUAAACCGAUACUUAGAAGCUUAAAUUCAACAUGGCAAAUUCACAGGUUUAGUUUCCUAAAAGAUUUUUCAUGUUUUUAUUACAGAACUGUCUGCAAACAAAUCUUUACUUGAUGAGAAGUUUAAAUAUAAUUAAAUCUAGAAUAUUACAUGAAUAUUUUAUUGCUUUAUUAA
rnacentral:lncRNA from 1 species